AGCUUGAUGGCUCAGUGGUGAGCGCGUACUAAACAUACGCUCUCUUUCCAUAUGUUUACGUACGACGCGUGAGUUCGAUUCUCACUCAAGCUA